rnacentral:rRNA from 1 species
CGAACGCUGGCGGCGUGCUUAACACAUGCAAGUCGAACGGAAAGGCCCUGCUUUUGUGGGGUGCUCGAGUGGCGAACGGGUGAGUAACACGUGAGUAACCUGCCCUUGACUUUGGGAUAACUUCAGGAAACUGGGGCUAAUACCGGAUAGGAGCUCCUGCUGCAGGGUGGGGGUUGGAAAGUUUCGGCGGUUGGGGAUGGACUCGCGGCUUAUCAGCUUGUUGGUGGGGUAGUGGCUUACCAAGGCUUUGACGGGUAGCCGGCCUGAGAGGGUGACCGGCCACAUUGGGACUGAGAUACGGCCCAGACUCCUACGGGAGGCAGCAGUGGGGAAUAUUGCACAAUGGGCGGAAGCCUGAUGCAGCAACGCCGCGUGCGGGAUGACGGCCUUCGGGUUGUAAACCGCUUUCGCCUGUGACGAAGCGUGAGUGACGGUAAUGGGUAAAGAAGCACCGGCUAACUACGUG